AUUGAACGCUGGCGGCAUACCUUACACAUGCAAGUCGAACGGCAGCACGGGUGCUUGCACCUGGUGGCGAGUGGCGAACGGGUGAGUAAUACAUCGGAACAUGUCCUGUAGUGGGGGAUAGCCCGGCGAAAGCCGGAUUAAUACCGCAUACGAUCUACGGAUGAAAGCGGGGGACCUUCGGGCCUCGCGCUAUAGGGUUGGCCGAUGGCUGAUUAGCUAGUUGGUGGGGUAAAGGCCUACCAAGGCGACGAUCAGCAGCUGGUCUGAGAGGACGACCAGCCACACUGGGACUGAGACACGGCCCAGACUCCUACGGGAGGCAGCAGUGGGGAAUUUUGGACAAUGGGCGAAAGCCUGAUCCAGCAAUGCCGCGUGUGUGAAGAAGGCCUUCGGGUUGUAAAGCACUUUUGUCCGGAAAGAAAUCCUUGGCCCUAAUACGGUCGGGGGAUGACGGUACCGGAAGAAUAAGCACCGGCUAACUACGUG
rnacentral:rRNA from 1 species